UGCGAGGGUCGCCCAGCUGGUCAAAGGCGCCAGACUUAAGAUCUGGUAUCGAAGGAUUUCGUGGGUUCAAAUCCCAUCCCUCGCAU
rnacentral:tRNA from 1 species